GACGAACGCUGGCGGCGUGCUUAACACAUGCAAGUCGAACGGAAAGGCCUGCUUUCCCUUGUGGAUUGCGGGUACUCGAGUGGCGAACGGGUGAGUAACACGUGAGUGAUCUGCCCCCAACUUGGGUAUAAGCCUGGGAAACUGGGUCUAAUCCCCGAUAGGACUGCAGGGUGGUGCCUGUGGUGGAAAACGAUUUUCUAGUGGUUGGGGAUGAGCUCGCGGCCUAUCAGCUUGUUGGUGGGGUAAUGGCCUACCAAGGCGGCGACGGGUAGCCGGCCUGAGAGGGUGGACGGCCACAUUGGGACUGAGAUACGGCCCAGACUCCUACGGGAGGCAGCAGUGGGGAAUAUUGCACAAUGGGCGGAAGCCUGAUGCAGCGACGUCGCGUGGGGGAUGACGGCCUUCGGGUUGUAAACUCCUUUCGACCGCGAGGAAGCCACCUGGUUGGAAGGGUGGUGACGGUAGUGGUAGAAGAAGCACCGGCUAACUACGUG
rnacentral:rRNA from 1 species